rnacentral:rRNA from 2 species
AAAUGACUCUCGGCAACGGAUAUCCCGGCUCUCGCAUCGAUGAAGAACGUAGCGAAAUGCGAUACUUGGUGUGAAUUGCAGAAUCCCGUGAACCAUCGAGUCUUUGAACGCAAGUUGCGCCCGAAGCCAUUAGGUUGAGGGCACGUCUGCCUGGGUGUCACGC